UUUUUUUUUCCCCCUCAGUUUCUUUUACCUUUGUGAGGCUAAUAUAUGCUGACGUUUUGGAUUGUAAAACAAAAAAUUGUGCUUAAAAGAAUGUCCCUCCAGAGGGCAGAAUUGUUGGGUAAAGCAUAUAGCGCAGAGCAGAAUAAGAGGUUCAGUAUGGCCUCUGGAUGAGGGUAUCGCAAAUUUUGAAUUAGGCUCAAAUAAAAUGAUUUAAAUUAUAUAUCAAUUCGAGGAUCAGAUAUUAAUUGGGAGGUCACAUGACUUUCCUUGAGCCUAUCUAGAUAAAAGUAAAAUGCUUUUUUUUCCUACGUUUUUGAAAAUUUAGAGUUUAUUGUUGCUCAUCUCUGCAAAUUAAUGUUAUCAGCAUCUUCUGCCUUCCUCCUGUCCCUCAAUUCCCUACUUUACUAAAAGAAGGCUGGCCAAAUUGAAAAGUAGUUGAGUUGGAGACUUGAUAAAUACUUUUGAAAAUACUUACAGAAACCACCCUUCAUCUUCCACGUAAAGAUCUCAGUUCUGUUCUGUACAGAGAGGCAACUACAAUGAAUAUUUUCUGCAAGUAACAUGGAAAUCAUGAUUUGAUUGCCAUGUGUUUCUAAUGUUCAGUAUUAAAUGUUUAUAGCCCUCGUAGGAAACAAACUUCUGACCUAAGUUGCUGGACUACUUGAAUAGAAAGGUAGUCAGCACAACUAGUGCCAUCUACUGGGUCAUUGCUGCAUAGUUUCUGUCUGUUUAGAAAUCUGGCUUAGUUUAACACGUGGGGGAAAUGGUUUUGUUCCAAUGAAUAGCGAUUUUUGCCUGAUAGUGGUGUAAGUAUGAUAUGGAAAAUCCUUAAGGGGCAGUUGGGCCAUUUGUUUAGUUUAUGAACAAUCAACACUGACAUUAAAUUUCAGUUAAGUAGAUGAAACCCUGAACUGCCCCUAAAGCUAUAGAAAAUAUGGGAAAGGUUGCCAAGUUUUGUAUUCUCAUCACAUUUGUCAAUAUUGUUGGUGAGAAGUGUAAACUGUUAAAAAUGCCUUUUGGUGAGUGGUGGUUUGGUAAAAACAAUUGAAGUAGAACACGACACUGCCCUUAGAAAUUUCAUUCCUUUACCCAAUGGUAUUUGGUAAAAUCCUGGCCAAAUGACUGCUGCUGUUGUAAUUAUGUGAGCUUUGCAGAACAUAACCUAUUUUAAAUGCCAGAAUGUGCUUCCGUGAAGAAGAACAUGGUUUUGGGCUGAGGAGAUCUUGGUUUGAGUCCUGGAUCUAUUUACUGGCUCCAGGACCAUGGACCUCGUUAUAAAAUGAUAGUGGGGCUAUGUACUCAUAGUGUUAGGAGGACUAUGUGAGCUAAUGUAUGCAAAACAUCUGCUCCAUAUCUAAGGGUCAACAAAUGUUAAGCCCUUUCUCCAUCAGCAUUGGAAAUAAGAUAAAAUACUGUUCAUUUCUCCAUGCCAUUAUUAGAAAACAAUCUUCUAUAAUUUAAAAUCUGAAAUAUUAAGCAAUUUAUGUGAAUUAUUACAAUUAUGUUCUUUUUUAAACAGUCAAACCAAGUUUUUCCUGUCUUGUCUGGGCACAGACAAGCACUUAUGCUGACGGUUUACCGUGACAGCAUGUAGGGUUGGGUCUUCAUUACAAAGAUCUGCCCACUAGCUGAGUACACUGGUGUUUUUCCAUUCACCUCUGCCCAGCAGGACAAGAUGAUGAAAGUACAGAGAACUUGUGGGUCCAGAUUUAAACCUGUCAUCCUCGACAUUUGGGGCAGAAACUGCUGAAAUGAAGGAGGACUUGCCAUCAAAGAACUGGCUGAAAGGAGUUAGCACACCACUCCUCUGCCCUGAACAGCUCUAAGCAAGAGGAGGAGCCUGUGGCAGGGCGUGAUAUGAAGUCCUCAGAGAUAGAGUGCCAAGAGUAGAGGGGGUAUCCUGGAACUUCAGUGUUUGCAGCGUUGGAGGUGGGACCUAACAGGAGGUGUUUGAGUCAUGGGGGCAGAUCCCUUAAGAAGGACUUGGUGCCGUCCUUGUGGAAAUGAGCCACUAAUCUUUGGAGUAAAUUUCUAUGCAGCAAAUCUAUUGAUGAUACAAGGGGGCUUCGCAAAUAAUGGUUAUGGACUUCAGAAGGCCCAAUGGGUCAGCUUCAGAACCAGUGGAAGGAGGGUGGAGCUGACAGAACAGGUGACUUACUGCUUCAAGCUGACCUCUGAAGCGAGUAUACACAGGCCACUUGUACAUUCUUCAUCAAAUCAUUAAGAAGUCAAAUGAAAAUGACCAACCACUGUCUCUGACAUUUAUUAUAUAUAUGAAAGGCAUUUAGGAGACGUAAAGACAAGGCAAUUGUGAAACAACUAUAAAGAUGCAAGACUGAAAGCCUCAAAAGUGACAUUCAGCUGCUCAGUUAUGCCAGCAAAAUGGAUUAGUAGAAGAUUCUAAGUUAUGGUGAAUGAGUGAAGGAGAUGAUUGCUGGAAGAAUUAAAGCUGGCUGUCUGGAAGGAAUUUAGGAAGACGUAGUGGUUAUAUAAUACUGAAAUCCUAGGAAACUGGAGAGUACGUAUUCUUGGCUUAUCAUUUAUUUCUGUUUGGAAAUGAUGGGGCAUUAUGAAGCUUUCCUAGAAGUUCCUAAAGGAGAAGUCAAGCAGCAGACACAUCUUCAUAAUGAUUCAAAAGACCUUCAGCUUACGGAGUGAAGCUUUACUGUGAACGGAGAGUAUUAUGCAGACAUAGCCUGCAGAGGAACUGCUGGGCAGAUUGGUGUCCAUAUGAAUUCCUUUGGCAAGAGUGCCCUGGAAAGAGACUUUCUCUACUUUUAAAUGAAGAAUUCUGGGUUGCUCAUUAUAUCUGAAAGAUGGAUGUAAUGGAAAUGAGUGAUGGAACAGCUCUACAACAGCAACUCUGUGCUUCACUGUGGUUUGCUGCCCUGGAAUAAUAUCUGCUACUUUUGUCUUCACCAAAAUCA